rnacentral:rRNA from 1 species
CGGACGGGUGAGUAACACGUGGAUAACCUACCUAUAAGACUGGGAUAACUUCGGGAAACCGGAGCUAAUACCGGAUAAUAUAUUGAACCGCAUGGUUCAAUAGUGAAAGACGGUUUUGCUGUCACUUAUAGAUGGAUCCGCGCCGCAUUAGCUAGUUGGUAAGGUAACGGCUUACCAAGGCAACGAUGCGUAGCCGACCUGAGAGGGUGAUCGGCCAUACUGGAACUGAGACACGGUCCAG